GAUCAUGGCUCAGGAUGAACGCUAGCGACAGGCUUAACACAUGCAAGUCGAGGGGCAGCACAGGUAGCAAUACCGGGUGGCGACCGGCGCACGGGUGAGUAACGCGUAUGCAACUUACCUAUCAGAGGGGGAUAACCCGGCGAAAGUCGGACUAAUACCGCAUGAAGCAGGGGUCCCGCAUGGGGAUAUUUGCUAAAGAUUCAAUCGCUGAUAGAUAGGCAUGCGUUCCAUUAGG
rnacentral:rRNA from 1 species